CGUACGGGGGGCUGCAGUGGGGAAUAUUGGACAAUGGGGGCAACCCUGAUCCAGCCAUGCCGCGUGUGUGAAGAAGGCCCUCGGGUUGUAAAGCACUUUCAGUGAGGAAGAACGCCUGGUGGUUAAUACCCAUCAGGAAAGACAUCACUCACAGAAGAAGCACCGGCUAACUCCGUGCCAGCAGCCGCGGUAAUACGGAGGGUGCGAGCGUUAAUCGGAAUUACUGGGCGUAAAGCGCGCGUAGGUGGCUUGAUAAGCCGGUUGUGAAAGCCCCGGGCUCAACCUGGGAACGGCAUCCGGAACUGUCAAGCUAGAGUGCAGGAGAGGAAGGUAGAAUUCCCGGUGUAGCGGUGAAAUGCGUAGAGAUCGGGAGGAAUACCAGUGGCGAAGGCGGCCUUCUGGACUGACACUGACACUGAGGUGCGAAAGCGUGGGUAGCAAACAGGAUUAGAUACCCUGGUAGUC
rnacentral:rRNA from 1 species